CCUACGGGAGGCAGCAGUGGGGAAUAUUGCACAAUGGGGGGAACCCUGAUGCAGCGACGCCGCGUGAGUGAAGAAGUAUUUCGGUAUGUAAAGCUCUGUCAGCAGGGAAGAAGAAAGAUGGUACCUGACCAAGAAGCCCCGGCUAACUACGUGCCAGCAG
rnacentral:rRNA from 1 species